CUCAAAGAUGUCUCUACAAUGGGCUCCAGGUUUGAUCUAAUCAAAUUCGAUUUCGUAUUUUUACUUAUCUGUGUCAGUUCUUCUACUUGUCGAACUUCAUCAAGCUCAACCUUAGCAAUAUCAGUUCUUUCCUCAAGGAACUCUUUUUCCAAAAAGAAAACCUCAAGACCCACGAAUGCCAUUUAUUCGUUAGGAAGGUAGAAGUAAUAUCUUCUUAUUUCCUUAGGAUGUCCUACGAAA
rnacentral:lncRNA from 1 species